rnacentral:rRNA from 1 species
CAGCACCUCAAGUGGACAGGAUGAUUAUUGGGCCUAAAGCAUCCGUAGCCGGCUCAGUAAGUUUUCGGUUAAAUCUGUACGCUUAACGUACAGGCUGCCGGGAAUACUGCAGAGCUAGGGAGUGGGAGAGGUAGAUGGUACUCGGUAGGAAGGGGUAAAAUCCUUUGAUCUAUUGAUGACCACCUGUGGCGAAGGCGGUCUACCAGAACACGUCCGACGGUGAGGGAUGAAAGCUGGGGGAGCAAACCGGAUUAGAUACCCGAGUAGUCC